rnacentral:rRNA from 1 species
CAGUCGCCACGGGAAUACAGAGGGUGCAAGCGUUAAUCGGAAUUACUGGGCGUAAAGCGCGCGUAGGUGGUUUGUUAAGUUGGAUGUGAAAGCCCCGGGCUCAACCUGGGAACUGCAUCCAAAACUGGCAAGCUAGAGUACGGUAGAGGGUGGUGGAAUUUCCUGUGUAGCGGUGAAAUGCGUAGAUAUAGGAAGGAACACCAGUGGCGAAGGCGACCACCUGGACUGAUACUGACACUGAGGUGCGAAAGCGUGGGGAGCAAACAGGAUUAGAUACCCCGUAGUCCCUGUCUCUUAUACC